GAUCAUGGCUCAGGAUGAACGCUAGCUACAGGCUUAACACAUGCAAGUCGAGGGGAAACGACAUCGAAAGCUUGCUUUUGAUGGGCGUCGACCGGCGCACGGGUGAGUAACGCGUAUCCAACCUGCCCAUCACUUGGGAAUAACCUUGCGAAAGUAAGACUAACGCCCAAUGACAUCCCACGAAGGUAUCCGAAUGGGAUUAAAGAUUUAUCGGUGAUGGAUGGGGAUGCGUCUGAUUAG
rnacentral:rRNA from 1 species